rnacentral:rRNA from 2 species
UGCAAGUCGAACGAUGAAGCCUUUCGGGGUGGAUUAGUGGCGAACGGGUGAGUAACACGUGGGCAAUCUGCCCUUCACUCUGGGACAAGCCCUGGAAACGGGGUCUAAUACCGGAUAACACUCUGUCCCGCAUGGGACGGGGUUAAAAGCUCCGGCGGUGAAGGAUGAGCCCGCGGCCUAUCAGCUUGUUGGUGGGGUAAUGGCCUACCAAGGCGACGACGGGUAGCCGGCCUGAGAGGGCGACCGGCCACACUGGGACUGAGACACGGCCCAGACUCCUACGGGAGGCAGCAGUGGGGAAUAUUGCACAAUGGGCGAAAGCCUGAUGCAGCGACGCCGCGUGAGGGAUGACGGCCUUCGGGUUGUAAACCUCUUUCAGCAGGGAAGAAGCGAAAGUGACGGUACCUGCAGAAGAAGCGCCGGCUAACUACGUGCCAGCAGCCGCGGUAAUACGUAGGGCGCAAGCGUUGUCCGGAAUUAUUGGGCGUAAAGAGCUCGUAGGCGGCUUGUCACGUCGGAUGUGAAAGCCCGGGGCUUAACCCCGGGUCUGCAUUCGAUACGGGCUAGCUAGAGUGUGGUAGGGGAGAUCGGAAUUCCUGGUGUAGCGGUGAAAUGCGCAGAUAUCAGGAGGAACACCGGUGGCGAAGGCGGAUCUCUGGGCCAUUACUGACGCUGAGGAGCGAAAGCGUGGGGAGCGAACAGGAUUAGAUACCCUGGUAGUCCACGCCGUAAACGUUGGGAACUAGGUGUUGGCGACAUUCCACGUCGUCGGUGCCGCAGCUAACGCA